UGGCAUCUCUUAUGACUUCCUUUGUAAUCGUUCUUCCAUAUCGUUCCCUUUCCUUCUGCAAUAAAGCCACAACUACAACUCACUCUCUUUUCCAAAAUCAAAGAAAUGGCCAUCGUCGCCACUAUAUCUGUACUACGAUCAUCCUCCGUUCGUAACGUCACCACAAGCUCGGCUUCCAAGCCAAGCCUGAUCGAUUUUCCUUCGAUUUUUUGAAAUCAAAGCAAAUAUGAAUCUAUUUUUCGAAAUCCGGUCCUCCGCCCUCCCGCUUCUCCACUCAUAUUCCACGACGAACAAUGGCAACACCGCAGCCACUAAUCCAGUGAUAGAAUGUCAAAAUCUGAGCUUCUCAGUCACCCGAUGGUAUGGAAAAGUUGUUCCCAUCCUCAACGAUUGCUCGCUCAGCAUCCCCUCUGGAUAGUUCUGGAUGCUUCUUGUUCCCAAUGGCUGUGGAAAAUUCACCCGCCUCAAAAGUGUAUAUGUGCAUACUAUAUUCUUCUAGUUUAAAUUCUAUCUUUUAAUUCCAAAAUUUUAACAUUAUUUCCAAUUUAAACAUAUACAUAAAACUUUUGUGUGUUGGAGGAUUGUUUUGCGGGGUGCAUUGAUUGCUUGUACCUUUCUUCAACUGAGACAGUGCCUUCUUUCUUUUUAAAGCAUCAAUUUCCAAUUUAAAGCAUAAAUACAAAGCUCAUUUUCUCUAUUCAAGUAAGGAAUCGAAAGCAGAUGCCUUCGGGUUAUAUAACAUCACAUAAUUUGUUACUACUUACUUUUAUUUAAAUUUUCAAUUAUACAUUGCUCUGGGUGUUUCUUAUCAUAACCAAGUUGGCUUUCAUUUAUUAUAUUGAGGUGCUUUCAGUAUCAUGCCAUGUGGUCAAGGAAGAACAAAUUAAGUUUACUGGAAAUCUGGAAUGUGCUUAUGUAGUGGAUAAUCUGAUCUGUUUCGUCAAUCUCAAUGUAUAAUGACAUGGAGCAGCUGAUGUUUAACUAACAAAGAUUCGAGUUGCAACAAAAGAUAUAAUGUUUGUUCUUAUAUCAACAUACCAAUGGCAUGAGUUUUUCCCCCGAGGUAGUAAAUAUUACUAUUUGGAGCUGUACUAGUCCAACAUUACACACAAAUUAUUGGCAUUGAUAUUAGUUUUCAUCUCAUCAUGUGAUUUACAGCUAAAAGCAAUAUUGGUGUUGUAUUGCACUUUGGGCGCCAAUUAUUUUUGUAUGGAUUACACAAUAUUUACAAUAAAAUUUCUUGUCUUUUGUUUUAGAGGAAGCUUUCAUGGUACCUUUUUUGGCUAGGUCUUGACUCACCUGCUUUAAAUCUACCGUGCCUUUUUAGGUCUAUUUCAUGGAUGCCCAGAUCUGGUAUGCUAUAUUCUCAACUUUAGUUGGAGGUAUAUAUGGCGCAUUUCGUCGACUGGGAGAGGUCAAUGUAAAUUUUAGCCUGGUUCGGAGAAAGAAUAAGGGGAAUUAUUCUGAGCUUCAUCAAUGGCCACAUGUAUAAAGUUCAGGAUUAUGUUUUUAUUUGAUAUUACUACGAUAGAUUGAUCCCUUCAAAGCUUCAGGUUAGAAAUUUAUCAAGCAUUUAUGAGAUUUUUGGGGACGAUAAUUUAUUUGAUAAUUUACUAUUGAUUUUUCCC